rnacentral:lncRNA from 1 species
UUGGCUAAGGUAAAGUAACCUUAGGAAAGAACGGUAAAUGCUAAAGUAUAUCAACAAUCAAGAAUGUCAAAGAAUAAAGAAUCGCCAAUGAGUAUAAUGUAAACAGAAAAAUGUUGUAAAGAAUAGCUAAUGAAUGAGAAUAGCUAAAUAAGUAAAGAACGGCUACAUGUAAAGAAUGACUAAUAAUAUGUAGUAGAAUCAAGUAAACUACUUGCAUGAGUUACAGGUUUUGCAUAUCGCAUUUUGUGAGGCAUGUUAUCUGUUAGUUGUAUAAUAACAUGGUGAUAUAUAUAUAGAUGUUUUUGGACUAACAUGAUUGCAGUGCCUCCUUGGGCCUAUUGGUCGAGCUUUUCCCUUGGGUGGCCGUACCCACUGGGAACUAUGGAGUUGGUUCUCACCCCACGUUGUUUUGGGGUGUUACAGGUAUACACGUGAGCGGCGCAGCGGCGCUAGGCAAGGGCGUAGAUUUGUAGAUAGCGCCCUAUCCCAGAGACCGAGGUAGCAGUUCCCCAAUAAGCUUAGCUAGGGGUUCGAAAGGGAUGACAACAACCAACUUGUAUUAAAUUGUAAAGAAUUUGUAAUUGUAUUUGGGAGUUUAAUGUAGAAGAAAAAUGGAACUAUGAUGUACAAUGUAAGUGAGAUGUGAAUGCUUAUAAUGGCAAGUAGAUUUAUGUUUUCGAUACUUCCUUAUGCAAUCUUGAUUGUUAUCAGUUCCUCGUUGGAGCAUUUGUAUUGUACAGGUUGCGACGCCUUGGACGUACAGGGGAAACUCUGUCCGUUCGGCGGUCUGUCGGUGUACACGAACCUGACCAAAUAGGCGGUGUUAAGGAUUUUAUAGAUUGGCGAAUUUCGUAGAGUUGUUUGGAGUCUUGAAGAGUUGAUCGCAGAAGUUAUUCAAAUUGGAGAACGAAGACUUAUUCGGAAAGUUUGACACCUAAGGUAUGAAGAAAAGAUCAUUUGUGGUGAAGAUACCUAAUUAGAAUAAGUUCAGAAGGCUUAGAUUGCUUUAAAAUAAUUUUUCUGAACUUUUAUGUGUUCUGGGACCGGUCCCUGAAAAGGAGAGACCGGUUUCCCUAAGGUCCUCACUGCGUAAACCGUGAUGCAACCGGUCCCCUGUGAUGAGAGACCGGUUCCCGAACCAUGGUGCUUCUAUCGCGCAGCGAGGAACCGGUCUCAAGUUUGAGAGACCGGUUCCCGAACGUUGGGUUUUUGGUCACGCAGAGAGGGACCGGUUCCUCACUUGAGAGACCGGUCUCUCACAGACCGGUCUCCUCGAGAGGACCCUCGAACAAUCUGUUUUAUGGAUUUGUUGGAUGCCUUGAUUUGUCCAUUGAUUUCCAUGGUGUUGUGGCCCUAAGGUAUUUAUCUAGCAUAUUACUAAUCAAUUUGCUAAAGUAUUUUUUGAAUCACAAAUCGAUGUUCUUAUAUUCCAGUAUGAUAUAUAUCAUUGUAUUUGACAGGGGUUCGUUCGAAAAUGUACUCGUGGCUACUUGUUCUUGUGGCCUUAUGGCUCGGGGUCGGUCUGUGGAAUGUAAGCGACAAGCCUGCUCAAAAGGCUAAAGGCCAUGAAGUAUCAACCGGAGGAUGAGAGAGUGCAUAUGGCUGCCUGGCGACGAUUCUUGAGAGGCGCCAGCAGAUUGGGAUAUUUGUGCUCCUGAGGGUAUUAGCUAAGGAUAAGGAUUCUGCCGAAGGCAAAGGAAAAGGAAAAAGCCGUUGAUAAAGGGAAUAAUAGAAAGCGACUGUGCAGUCUGUCGUCGCCUAAGUCGAGUCGGGUGCAUUGAAAUUCGGAGAACGGGCUCUGAGCACACGUCACAGUCUACGAGGAUGUUCACUAAUCGACGGUCGGAUGUACUCGUCGAAACACUGCAUGGUGGCGCAGAAUGUUGGAGGUCGGCCAGUAUCAUUAGUUGUGUUGCCGACGUUUCAGGAUUUAAUUUUUGACAAGGAACUCUACUCAGAUUAUGUGAUUUUCCCGGAGCAAACGAGGUUAUUUGCUUGGAGAAANNNNNNNNNNNNNNNNNNNNNNNNNNNNNNNNNNNNNNNNNNNNNNNNNNNNNNNNNNNNNNNNNNNNNNNNNNNNNNNNNNNNNNNNNNNNNNNNNNNNAUGUCUCUAACAUGGAAUGUAGCAGAUAUGUAGUGGCCUAUCAACAUGUCUCUAUGUUGCAGUUUAAUAGUUUACUAGUUUCAAGUGCCCCUUGAUGACACUUUUGUUCAACGAGUUCCAAGCAUGGCAUUAGUAUGUUCAUGAUGCAUAAUUCACUCAACUCUAGCAUGGAGACAUGUUCCCAACUUGCAAAACCAAGCACUAUCCACAAUGCAUGCAAUCUACACAUAUAGCUCUACUAUAUGGAGUACAAAUUUUACGAUAUAUGAGGCAUGCAUGUUAAGUGUUCUAAAAUUCACAUACAUCAUAUUUAGCAUGAAUUUGCAUUCAAAAAUACUUUACGAAAAGUUUAGAAGGCAUAGGGGGGCCAUUUUGCCCUAUUUUCAUGAAGUCAAACCCACCAAAAUCGACUUCUUCGUUUCGCCGAAUGAAGAUAUCCACAAGCUUACUAGUGCCCUAAAAACAUAAAAAAUAAGGUCACCCAAACGAAACGAAGAGCAAAUAGCUCAAACACUAAGCUUCUCAAGCUAGGGUUGGAGAAAACUCACCUCAAGUGAAAAACCCUCUUUUAAUCCUCAAAUGGGAGGUAGAGGUCUUCCAAUCUAACCUAUAUAAAGGUUCCAAACCCAUCAAUUAGGUCUCAAAACUCUCAAAUCCAAAAACCCCCAAAAUAAACCCUAAAUCCCAAAAUCUAGGGUUUCUUCUAGCAAAACCUAGGAAAACAUGAAACAAAUGGGGAUUACAAGCUACCAACCUCAAGAGAAGCUCCAAUCCAAGCUCAAAACCAAGUAGGGUUGAAGUUUGAUCCUCCACAAAGCUCCAACCGCAAGUUCACAGCCACCAAAGUGAGAAAUGGGGAAGAAGAUGAUGCUCCAAGGCCUCCAAGCAAGCUCCUUCUCCUUUUCUUCUUCUUCUUCUUCCUCUCCCUCUCUUCUUCUCUCUCUAGAAUGCAAAGGGUUGAGAGAAAUGAGGGAAAGAGAGAGAAGAAAGGCUCUCUAUAGGCUCUAAAGUAACAAAAUCCAGAUANUCUCUCUAGAAUGCAAAGGGUUGAGAGAAAUGAGGGAAAGAGAGAGAAGAAAGGCUCUCUAUAGGCUCUAAAGUAACAAAAUCCAGAUAAGCCCCUCAAAAAUCCAAAAUCACAUCAGCCUGGUCUGGGCAGUUUUCGCCCAGAGGGACCGGUCUCCUCGACCUGGGACCGGUCUCUCAGCCUGCCCCCGAAAAACCAACGUUCGGGAACCGGUCUCUUCCUGCGCGAGACCGGUCUCUCCCCGCGCAGACGCGCUCGGGGACCGGUCUCGACUGCCAGGGACCGGUUGCCUCGCCGGCUACGCAGCACUGUUCACUGGGGGACCGGUCUCUCCUAUCAGGGACCGGUCCCUGAGAGUAAAAACUCUCAGGACUCUGCCAAAGCUCUCGAGAUCGAACUUUUAGGCCGGUAUAUCGUCGACGGCCCUCCACCAAGUGUGGAAAAGUUCGGAAUACACAUCGAACACUCGAACCUCGCAAUUUGCAAUGGUCCAGUGUGCUACACCCCGAGUGGGCGUAUGUAUGCCGCUCAGACCGAGAAGGCGGCAGCAGCCGAGGAUGUGGUCGCAGGUAUCAUUUUACUUGAUAGCAUUAGAGUUCGUGCAUUAUUUGAUACCGGUGCAUCAGACUCAUUCAUAGAUCGGCUGUUUGCCGAGUUGCAUGGCAUCCCUAUACUUUUCUUGUUGCAUCCGGGACGUGUAGUUGUCCCCGACCACUCUUUGGAUAUUAGCGAGUAUUGCCCCAGUUGCCCUAUUCGGUUAGGAAAUUGGAUUAUGCCUGUGAACUUGCUAGCCUUGCGCAAGCUGGGGGAAUCUGAUGUGGUCUUAGGCAUGGAUUGGUUAACCAAGUAUUAUGCCACGAUUGAUUGUAAGAAUCGCACGGUUACUUUUAGAGAAGCGGGGCAAGUUGAGGUGAUAUUUCGAGGAUGCCAUAGUUCGCUUUUUGCAAUGACGAUUAGCUCGUCUCGAGCUAGGCAGCUGAUCAGCAGAGGUUGUGUAGCCUACUUGGCUAGUGUUGUGAUGAGGGGCAAGGGUGAUACCCCUAGGAUUGAUGAUAUCCCAGUGGUACGGGAGUUUUGUGACGUGUUUCCAGCUGAGCUACCGGGCAUGCCACCCGAUAGGGAGAUCGAGUUUGUGGUAGAUCUCGUCCCUGGGACUACUCCAAUCUCAAAAACGCCCUAUAGGAUGGCACCGGCGGAGCUGAAGGAGCUGAUGGCACAGCUACAGGAUCUUCUGGAUAAAGGCUUCAUUCGACCGAGCGUCUCGCCUUGGGAAGCGCCAGUUUUGUUCGUCAAGAAGAAAGACGGAUCGCUACGCCUAUGUGUGGACUAUCGUGAACUUAAUAAAGUCACGAUCAAGUAUAAGUAUCCGUUGCCGUGGAUCGACGACUUGUUUGAUCAGCUUCAGGGAUCGUGUGUGUAUUCCAAGAUCGAUUUGCAGUCGGGAUACCACCAGUUAAAGAUCAAACCCGAGGAUGUAUCGAAGACGGCUUUUAGAACACGGUAUGGACAUUAUGAGUUCACUGUUAUGCCGUUUGGGCUUACUAAUGCCCCGGCAGCUUUUAUGGAUUUAAUGAACCGUGUUUUUAAGUCAUAUCUAGACAGGUUCGUCGUGGUGUUUAUCGACGACAUUUUGGUUUAUUCCCGAAGUGAUGCAGAUCACGAGGAGCAUUUGAGGCUUGUACUUCAAGUACUUCGGGAAAAGAAGCUUUUUGCCAAGCUGAAAAAGUGUGAAUUUUGGCUUCGAGAGGUAGCUUUCCUUGGGCAUCUGAUUUUGGGGUCAGGUAUUGCGGUGGAUCCCAAGAAGAUUGAGGCUAUCAGGGAUUGGCCGAGACCGACGAGCGUUACGGAGAUUCAGAGUUUUCUUGGAUUGGUCGGGUACUACCGGAGAUUUGUCGAGGGGUUUGCUAAGUUAUCAACUCCCCUCACGAGACUCACGCAUAAAGGAGUCAAGUUCAUUUGGAAUGAUGCAUGCGAGAGAAGCUUCCAAGAGUUGAAGCAAAGAUUGACGACCGCCCCGAUCCUAACCCUGCCGAUGGCUGGAGCAGGGUAUGUGGUUUAUAGUGAUGCUUCACUUAAUGGAUUGGGUUGUGUGUUGAUGCAGGAUGGCAAAGUGAUCGCGUAUGCUUCUCGCCAACUAAAGGAAUAUGAAAAGAACUACCCGACGCAUGAUUUGGAGUUGGCGGCCGUAGUCUUCGCAUUGAAGUUAUGGCGCCACUAUCUUUAUGGUGAGCGGUGUGAAGUGUACACGGAUCACAAUAGUUUGAAGUACUUAUUCACUCAGAAAGAGUUGAACCUGAGACAGCGCAGAUGGUUGGAGCUGCUCAAAUAUUACAAUUUGACGAUUCUCUACCACCCAGGCAAGGCUAACGUGGUGGCUGAUACGCUAAGUCGGAAAUCAACGGAAAACUUAGCGAUGCAUGUUGUUACUCAACCGCAGUUAAUCGAACAGAUGAAACGGUUGGAGUUGGAGGUGGUGACUCCUGACACGCCUUUGAGGUUGAUAACGUUGGUGGUGCAACCUACACUUUUGGAUCGAAUUAAAGAAAAGCAAGCUUCCGAUGUAGAGUUGCAAAGGAUUAAAGGUAAAUUGGUUGAUGGUUGCACCAACGACUUCCUUGUGGAUGACCAAGGAUUGAUGCGUUUUCGUGGACGGAUUUGUGUACCGGCGGUUUCGGGAAUUAAAGAAGACAUUCUUCAAGAAGCGCACCGAACGCCCUACGCUAUACAUUCAGGAGGCACAAAGAUGUAUAAGGAUUUACAGUUGCUUUAUUGGUGGCCCGGGAUGAAGAAUGAUGUUGGCGAGUUUAUAGCUCGUUAUCUAACUUGCCAACAAGUAAAGGCCGAGCAUCGAGUUCCCGCGGGAAAACUUCAGAGUUUGCCUAUUCCCGUGUGGAAGUGGGAGAAGAUCACCAUGGAUUUCGUGACUAGAUUGCCCCGCUCUCAGGCCGGGCAUGAUGCUAUUUGGGUGAUCGUGGAUAGGUUGACGAAGUCGGCGCACUUCAUACCUAUUCAUACUACUUGGACUGGGGAGAAGCUCUCACAAGUGUACCUUGAUGAGAUUGUACAACUUCACGGGAGUGCCCACUUCGAUUGUAUCAGAUCGAGACACCCGAUUUGUGUCUCACUUUUGGAGGAGUCUACAGGACGCCCUAGGCACUCAACUCGAUUUUAGCACUGCUUUCCACCCUCAGAGUGAUGGGCAGUCGGAGCGCACAAUACAGACUUUAGAAGAUAUGCUCCGAGCAUGUGUAAUAGACAUCCAGGGAGGAUGGUCGCAGCAUCUACCUAUGGCGGAGUUUGCUUAUAACAAUAGUUAUCAAGCAAGCAUCAAGAUGGUACCGUUCGAAGCACUUUAUGGACGGAAGUGUAGAUCGCCACUUCAUUGGAGUGAAGUUGGCGAGAGAUUGGCUUUGGGACCAGAUGUGCUCCAGGAAGCUGAGAAUAAAGUUCGAAUUGCUCGGGAGCAACUUUUGACAGCGCAGAGUAGACAGAGGAGCUACGCCGACCGACGACGGCGAGACUUGGAGUUCCAAGUUGGAGACCAUGUUUUCUUGAAGGUCUCGCCGACUAGAGGGAUCAAGAGAUUCGGAAUGCGGGGUAAGUUGAGCCCCCGUUUCAUUGGACCGUAUGAGGUUUUGGAGCGUGUAGGUCCAGUAGCGUAUCGACUUACUCUACCACCGAACCUAUCGGGCGUGCACAACGUCUUUCAUGUAUCGGUCCUUCGAAAGUACAUCUUCGACCCGACUCACAUGUUGGAUGCUACACCUUUAGAGUUGCGGGAGACUUGAGCUUCGAGGAGCAGCCUGUGAAGAUCUUGGCUCGCGAGGUACGAAAGCUGCGGAAUCGGGAUAUUCCGUAUGUGAAGAUUCUUUGGAGCAACCACGGGGAGCGAGAGGCCACGUGGGAGCUUGAGAGCACCUUGCUGGAGCGUUAUCUCCAUUUUUUUCAGAUGGAGUCUUGAGGUACGUUGCUUUCGAGUUUCGCGGACGAAACUCCUUUUUAGAAGGGGUGAUGUGACGCACUGGACCUUUGCAAAUUGCAAGAUUCAAGUGUUUGUUUCGUAUUCUUAGCUUUUCCACAAUUCGUGGAGGGUCGUUGACAAUGUUCCGACCCAUGGUUCGAACCCCGAGAUUGGAAGUUUAAAACCUAGCACCAAAAUCUGAAAAGUCGAAUUUUUGGUCAGCUCUCAGGUAGCCUCAGCAGGGCUGUGUACCGGUACGGGGUUUAUGGCUGAACCGGUACGCGCUGAUGGCUGUACUGGUACGGGGCUAGUGUACCGGUACACAGACGGAUUUCGUGCAAACCCGAGGCUCAUGUUUGGCUGUUUCGCAGGUGUUGUACCGGUACGCUUGCCCGUGUACCGGUACACAGUGCAGCGCGAGCAGUUUUCGGGCAGGGGUGUUUGUGCAAUUGUUACAACACCUAUAUAUGGCACCCCAGCCCCCUUAGAGGGCUUUCUUGUGCCCUAACCAGUGGAGAUCAAAGGUGAGUGCCCCUCCCCUUGGUUCUUCUCCAUUUUUGAUGGGUUUUUUCUUAUUUUGAUCUUCUCUUCCUUAUGUUUCUUUGCACCUUGUUGGUUUCCUCCAUGGGAGAAGCUUGGAGCUCGUGAUUAGAGCUUCGUUGAGGAAAGAUCUUGGGAGCUUGUGGACUUUGGGCUUGUUGGAAGCCUUCUAGAGGUUAGUGGCUAAAUUCUUUCCUCUCGAUCCUAGUUUUGAUGCUUUUUGUUGGUAGAAAUCCUAGAUUUGGGAUAUUAGGGUUGGAAUUUGGGAAUUUUUGAUUUGUGGGUUUUAGGACCCAAUUGAUGGGUUUAGAACCUUCGUGUAGGUUGGGUUGGAAGGAUUCUUGCUCCCUUUUGGAGAUCAAGGGAGAUUUUCACCACUUUUCGGUGAGUUAUUAGCCCUUUUCUUGAGUUGCUUAAUGUUUGAACUCAUGAACUGUCGUUUCGAUGUUGUAACACCCCUAGCCUAUCUCUUAGGGUACUAGGAGUGAUUACCGAAGCUUCGUUAGCGUUUCGGACGCCCACGCGGAGCUUUUGGUGGGUAUGGCUUCAUUGAAAUAAGGGGAAAUGCCUCCUACGUGGUUAAAUGUUUUCGUAUACUAUAAUUGUAUGCAUAUCCAUAUUGAAUAGAAUUUAUAUGAAUUUUAGAAUGCUUAAAACUCCUAUGUUAUGCAUCAUGAAAAAUUGACUCUAUAUUGUAGAGAGAAGUAUAUGCAUUGUUAAUAUGCAUGAGUUUAAUGUUCUAAUGAAUGAUGUAAGAUCAUGUUUCUCGUGCGGAAAAUGAUUAGAAUGACAAGCCUUUAGACUUAUUAUUCAUAUUGGGAUAUAGUAAGCAAAAGUGUUAUAAAGGGGCACUUGAACUAGAAAUUGUUGAACUACAACUUAGAGACAUGAUGAUAGGCCACUGGAAAUCUGCUGGGGUCGAGGAGCGUGACAUCGUACCAGGUAUGAGUUAAUUAAAGCAAUCAUACGCUUCUGCAUGAUGUAGACUUAAGAACUUGCAUGCAUUUACCUUGUAGUCGUUCACUACUAUUUGUGCAUUGGUAUAGUAGGGACCAAGUGAACGAGUUGGUGUAGAUACCCGAGCAUGCUUAUGUGGUGAGAGUGUAGCGCCUGCUGGAGCAGGUAGAGAGCUAGAUAGCACUAGCAAAAUGCUGGUGAUGAUUGUUGGACAAAAAGUGAGACUCGUGGUAGAGCGAUCGGUUAUUGGCCAAGUAUAGGCACGUGGGCCUAGUAGUGCCUCGAAUUGCGAUGGGCGAAUCGUGCCCGUGUGGCCGGUGUGCAUAGGCACGGUUGCCUAAUGCUUAUGUGGUCGUUCACGUAUAGAGCGUUCGAGUGUAGAUACUCAUAGAGUGCGGAUUUGAUUCAACCGAGAGAGUGUGAUGGCAGUAGCACUUCAGCAUUGCUAAGUGUGAAGCGAGCCAUGGAACUCGUAAGGCUGGCGGCUCGCACUAGGUGCUUAGGAGCCGAUAGUGGUACUUAUAGCUCGAUAGAGUAUGUCGUGUAGGACGACGACGGUUGGUAUCGUUUGGGGACGAUCCGUGCCAAAACCAUUUGUGGACUGUGGAGCCUGGGCCCUUUGGGCAGGCGCAGUUAGCUGUGAGUGACAGCGGCCCGGUACCUACUGGUAGGGUAGAGUUUUGGUCAGGACGGUAGUCCGAGCUUAGACCCGGGAGCAUGGAAUGCCACGUAUUGGAUCGCGAGAUCGAUGAGAUACCGAGAGUUUGAUUAUGACCCAACUCGAGGACUUGACGUGGUUUGGAGUCAUGGUUGCUCCUGUUUGGAGUGCGUGCGAAUUCUCCAACAAGAAUUUCACCCAAUGAUGAUUAGGUCUACGAUCCGAGCGAGAGACGCUAUGUGUAGUUGCGACAGGUUUAGGCGCUAGGCCUACGUAGUAUUUGUGACCGUUGGUCCACCUGUGGAAACCGACGUAAUCGGUUCAGCCGAUGACUCUGUGGAUGAGUUGGAGUAAGGAAGUGAAUUCUCGAAAUACGAGAGUUGGACUUCGCUCAAAAUCGACCAAUUGUCGAGGGGGAGUGCUCCGGAAAAGCCGAAGAAGUCAAAUGCACCAAAAGUGCAUUGCAAUGGAGUCCGCGAGAGCAAUGGUGCAAGAAUUUGUACUUAGCAGAUUUGCUCUCGAGGACCGGUCCCUGGCGGGAGGGACCCAUUCCCGAACGUGGUCUGCGCGAGCUUGCUCUCGGGGACCGGUCCGAGGAGGGAGGGACCGGUUGCCCCGAGGUUGAGGGUUGCACAGCGUGGGGUAACCGGUCCCCUGGCAGGAGAGACCGGUCCCCGAGCGUAAAAUUUGCCCAGGCAGGCUGGGUUAUGUUGGAGGAGUUGGAGAACUUGAAGAUAACGCUCUUUCAUGGAUUGAGGUUUGAAAGAUGUGCCGGGGUAGGCCAUCUCGUAGUAGAGCGAUUUAAGGUUAGAAGUGGCAAUUGAGAGGUAAGGGAAAGUGGUAUCUUGGAGACACUUGAAUACCGGAUAGCCACAUGGAAUUGUGGACAAUGCUCUCUUGAGGAUUGGAAGUCGGGGGUAGGCCAUUUCGCGGUAGAGCAAGGUCCGAAUGUGGUUAGAACACUCGCGAUUGGGUGAUGCACCAAUGAUAUUGCUUUUGAGCAAUGUUGGUGAUCGAAUCGGAAUGCCCCGAGGGGGAAAGUGAAUGGAAAGAAGAGUGCUUGCAUGCCAAAUGGUGAAUGGUGUUGGAGCGCGCAGAGUGGUUGAGUUUCGACUUGCGCUACCACCAAGAAUGUCGGAGGCCCGUAAUGCACUUUCGGAGUUACGUUUAGCAAAUGUGAGUGAAUCUAGUCUCACAUCCCUCGUAGUGGGCCUUUGGAUAAUUCCGAUGAGUAAAAGGCCACUCCGAAGUGCGAAAGUGCAUUGGAACUCUAUGUUGCUCGAUACGUCGAGUUGAGGUGUGAAUUGGGUUUCAAGUGAGUUAGUUUUGAGGACGAAACUCUUAUUAAGGAGGGAAGGAUGUAAGGUACCAGACUUCUAAAACUAUGAGGUUACGGUGUACAUUUGGUUGGAAGACCAUUUGAACGGUUUCGGUGAGGUCCCGGUGAGGUCCGGAAUCAUUCGGGCGUUUUCGGUGCGCGUAGGCGCUAAAACAGAGCCGAAAGGCCAUGUUGGGCCGUGAGCCAAAUCCGACUUUAGCGUGAAUGAAAAGAUGAUGAAAACACACUUGAAAACAUUUUUGGAGAGUCUCGGUUCGAUUUGAAAAGAAUCGAAGGUCAAACGAGCGAAAACGAGCGAAAACGGAGCUAAAACGGGAAAAAGGCUGAAAUUUGGCUAAGUCCUAAAAAUGCUGGAAUUCUGGACCUUCGGGGACCGGUCUCUCACUGCCAGGGACCGGUCCCUUAUACAAAAAUUGGCCCCCACGAGGGCAGUGCAGGAAACAUGAAGUUGGGGGUCUUUUCUGCAAUUUGUGCACUAAUGAGAGGGUAUAGGAGUAAGGUUUCUCUUCUCCCUCUCAUUUCUCAUGACCUAAACACCAAAGACCUCUCUCUCUCUCUCUCUACAAGCUCUCUCUCUCUCUUCAAGAAGGAAGGAAAGGAGGUGGAUUUGGUGGAGAACAAGAUCAAGAGAGGGAUUAGCAUCUUCUUCUUCUUCCUCUCCACCAUUGGAGCUUACUUUGGAGGUAAGCUCAUGAGAGCUUUCAUGGUAGAUCCCUAUAGAUGGGUUUUUAUUUCCUAGCUUCUCUAAUAGAUGAAUUAUGCAUGAAUCUAGAGCUCCAAUGAGAGAUUUUUGCAUUGGUUAUACAUAGGGCUCCCAAAAUGGGGUUUUGGGAAAUAUAGGGUUAUGAUCUAAAUUGAAUAGUUGCAAACCUAAUUGCUAGGUAUUCCGACGCGUUGGCGAAGUCGGUUCGUCAAUUCGUUGAGCGGGUGCAGAGAUAUUGAAGAAAAGGCUUGUUGAGGUACAAAUUGCCGCAGCUCGCGGCGAAAGCUUCCUAAAAUCUCGAAAUCAGAAUCGUGGGCUCGUGGCAUCACCUAAAGGUGGGGGGUGUCCAUCCGAAGCAAUCGGGCUUCCUCCUAUGUCCGAGUUAGAUUUUUGGUCAUAUCGCACUUAUGGUUCUUAUACAUUAUAGGAUAUAUGUAUAGUUGCAUUUCUAUUUCCUUGCAUGCAUGUCUAGUUGUAUAGUAUUAUAAACCUUACACUUAAACCUAGAAUGCAUGAGGAUUAGGGUUGUAAUAUGAGAUCCUAUAAUGAUAAGAAAAUAGAGAACUUGGAUUUGACGAUGAAAACUAGUGAUAUGUGAACUAGUGUAUAGAAAACAAUUAUAACUUGGACGAGUGGCAUGUAGAUAAUGCAAAUACAUGACGAGUGGCAUGUAAACCUAGCGUCGUGAACCUAGGAUAGAUCGAGUGGCAUUAACCUAGUGUCGUGAACAUAGGUUGAGGAUUGAACCUAGAGUUAGUUAAACCUAGGAUAUGUGAUAAAGGUGUUAAACCUAGAGUUGGUGAGACACUUGAUAUGGACCUAGGGAUAGGUGGACUUUCGAGUGUUUGUUAACCCUAGUUGACAGGGUAUCCUCAGUUGGCAAGGAUUGGAUCAUACUCACAUAGUCUGUUUUGAGCUUGUGGUGGUCGCUCCACACAAGCAGUGCACUCCGGAGUUGUCACACGAGCGGGGUAGCUCAUGAGCGGGGUAGCUCAUCGGGUGGGAUACGAGCGGGGUAGCUCCUCACCCAUUGGACUGGGACGCGAGUUGGCAUGAAGGGCGGGGUAGCCUUUCCCCUAUGAGAUUGAGCGGGGCAGCUCAAUAUCUAUGAGAUUAGAGCGGGGUAGCUCUUCAUCUAUGACCUUUGAGAUGUGAGACGGGUGAGAUAAGAGCGGGGUAGCUCCUUACCUAUGAGAUUUGAGAUAUCAGUCAGGGCGAAGAGUGGGGUAGCUCUUCACCUCUUCACCUACUAGAUUGUGGUGUGAGUACCUAUAAGAUUUGAGAUCUUAGGCGGGGUAGCCUAGUGGAUUGGGUAAUGACAUGAAUAGCAUAAGUGGAUUUGCAUUUAUCCCCUAAUUAGACAUAGUAUAUAUUAAUGGAUUGCAUAACUAUAUUGUAUUUGUAUUCAUUACAUUGUUGAAGCAUAUUAUCAUGAUAGUAGGCUUAUUGCUAGACGAUAUUUCAUGCAUUGCUUGCAUUUGAUGGCACAAUAGAUCAUAGUUGCAGUUCAAUAUCUAUCUAUCUCUCUUUUAUUCACUUGUUUAUACUUGUGAUGCUUGCUCUUGUAAUGUUCGGCACUGGUUGUGCCCUCGCUAUUGUUUUGAUCAUGUAUGUAUUCAAGUUGAUUUCCUGGAAACUUGUUGUACAUGAUCCUGUUGUUUAGCCUGGACGGAUAGGGGAGGUGCUGUCCGUCCGGCGUCUGUUCGACGCGCCCGGAUCGGACCAAAUUGGUAGUGGUCUCGAGGCGUGCCAAGUUGUCCCCUACCACUCUUUGGAUAUUAGAGAGUAUUGCUCCAGUUGCCCUAUUCGGAUAGGAGAUUGGGUUAUGCCUGUGUACUUGCUAGCCUUGCACAAGCUGGGGGAAUUUGAUGUGGUUUUAGGCAUUGAUUGGCUAACCAAGUAUUAUGCCACGAUUAAUUGCAAGAAUCGCACGAUUACUUUUAAAGAACCGGGACAAGUUGAGGUGAUAUUUAGAGGAUGCUAGAGUUCGCUUUUUGCGAUGACAAUCAGCUCGUCUCGAGCGAGGCAACUGAUCAGCAGAGGUUGUGUAGCCUACUUUGCUAGUGUUGUGUUGAUGGGCGAGGGUGACACCCAUAGGAUUGAGGAUAUCCCGGUGGUGCGGGAGUUUUGUGACGUGUUUCCAGCUGAGCUACCCGGUAUGCUGCCCGAUAGGGAGAUCGAGUUUGUGGUAGAUCUCGUCCCUGGGACUACCCUAAUCUCGAAGGCACCCUAUAGGAUGGCACCGGCCGAACUGAAGGAGCUGAGGGCACAGCUACAGGAUUUAUUGGACAAAGGCUUCAUUUGACCGAGUGUCUCGCCUUGGGGAGCGCCAGUUUUGUUCGUCAAGAAGAAGGACGGAUCACUUCGCCUAUGUGUGGACUAUCGUGAACUUAAUAAAGUCACGAUCAAGAACAAGUAUCCGUUGCCGAGGAUCGACGACUUGUUUGAUCAGCUUCAGGGAUCGUGUGUGUAUUCCAAGAUAGACUUGCAGUCGGGGUACCACCAGUUAAAGAUCAAACCCGAGGAUGUUUCGAAGACGGCUUUUAGAACACGGUAUGGACACUAUGAGUUCACUGUUAUGCCGUUUGGACUUGUUAAGGCCCCGGCAGCUUUUAUGGAUCUAAUGAACCGUGUUUUUAAGCCAUAUCUAGACAGGUUCGUCGUGGUGUUCAUCGACGACAUUUUGGUUUAUUCCCGAAGUGAUGCAGAGCACGAGGAGCAUUUGAGGCUUGUACUUCAAGUACUUCGGAAAAAGGAGCUUUUUGCCAAGCUGAAAAAGUGUGAAUUUUGGCUUCGAGAGAUAGCUUUCCUUGGGCAUCUGAUUUCGGGAUCAGGGAUUGCGGUGGAUCCCAAGAAGAUUGAGGCUAUCAGGGAUUGGCCGAGACCGACGAGCGUCACGGAGAUUCGGAGUUUCUUUGAAUUGGCCGGAUACUACCGGAGAUUUGUUGAGGGGUUCGCCAAGCUGUCUACUCCCCUCACGAGACUCACGCAUAAAGGAGUCAAGUUCAUUUGGAAUGAUGCUUGCGAGAGAAGCUUCCAAGAGUUGAAGCAAAGAUUGACGACCGCCCCGAUCCUAACCCUGCCGAUGGCUGGAGCAGGGUAUGUGGUUUAUAGUGAUAUUUCACUUAAUGGAUUUGGUUGUGUGUUGAUGCAGGAUGGCAAAGUGAUCGCGUAUGCUUCGCGCCAACUAAAGGAAUAUGAAAAGAACUAUCCGACGCAUGAUUUCGAUUGGCGGCCGUAAUCUUCGCAUUGAAGUUAUGGCGCCACUAUCUUUAUGGUGAGCAGUGUGAAGUGUACACGGAUCACAAGAGUUUGAAAUACUUAUUCACUCAGAAAGAGUUGAACUUGAGACAGCGCAGAUGGUUUGAGUUGCUCAAGGACUAUGACUUGACGAUUCUAUACCACCCGAGCAAGGCUAACAUGGUGGCGGAUGCGCUAAGUCGGAAAUCGACAGAAAACUUAGGGAUGCUUGUUGUGACCCAACCGCAGUUGAUCAAGCAGAUGAAGCGGUUGGAGUUGGAGGUAGUGACUCCGGAUACACCCUUGAGGUUGAUGACCUUGGUUGUGCAACCUACACUUCUGGAUCGAAUUAAAGGAAGGCAAGCUUCCGAUGUGGAGUUGCAAAGGAUUAAAGGUAAAAUGAUGGAUGGUUGCACCGGCGAUUUUCUUGUGGAUGACCAAGGAUUGAUGCGUUUUCGUGGACGGACUUGUGUGCCGGCGGAUUCGGGAAUUAAAGAGGAUAUUCUUCAAGAAGCGCACCGAGCGCCCUAUGCUAUACAUCCGGGAGGCACCAAGAUGUAUAAGGAUUUAAAGUUGCUUUAUUGGUGGCCCGGGAUGAAAAAGGAUGUUGCCGAGUUUGUAGCUCGUUGUCUAACUUGCCAACAAGUAAAGGCUGAGCAUCAAGUUCCCGCGGGGAAACUUCAGAGUUUGCCUAUUCCCGUGUGGAAGUGGGAGAAGAUCACCAUGGAUUUCGUGACUGGAUUGCCCCGCUUUCAGGCCGGGCAUGAUGCUAUUUGGGUGAUCGUGGAUAGGUUGACGAAGUCGGCACACUUCAUACCUAUUCAUACUACUUAGACCGGGAGAAGCUCGCACAAAUGUACCUAGAUGAGAUUGUGCGACUUCAUGGAGUGCCUACAUCGAUUGUAUCAGAUCGAGACACCCGGUUCGUGUCCCACUUUUGGAGGAGUCUACAGGACGCCCUAGGCACUCGACUGGAUUUUAGCACUGCUUUCCACCCUCAGAGUGAUGGGCAGUCGGAGCGCACCAUACAGACUUUAGAGGAUAUGCUCUGAACAUGUGUGAUAGACUUCCAGGGAGGAUGGUCGCAGCAUCUACCUAUGGCGGAGUUUGCUUAUAACAAUAGUUAUCAAGCAAGCAUUAAGAUGGCACCGUUCGAAGCACUUUAUGGACGGAAGUGUAGAUCGCCACUUCAUUGGAGUGAAGUUGGUGAGAGAUUGGCUUUGGGACCAAAUGUUCUCCAGGAAGCAGAGGAUAAAGUUCGAAUUGCUCGGGAGCGACUUUUGACGGCGCAGAGUAGACAGAGGAGCUACGCUGAUCGACGGCGGCGAGACUUGGAGUUCCGAGUUGGAGACCAUGUUUUCUUGAAGGUCUCGCUGACUAGAGGAAUCAAGAGAUUCGGGAUUCAGGGAAAGUUGAGCCCCCGUUUCAUUGGACCGUAUGAGGUUUUGUAGCGUGUAGGCCCGGUAGCGUAUCAACUUGCCCUACCGCCGAAUCUAUCGGGCGUGCACAAUGUCUUUCACGUAUCGGUCCUACGGAGGUACAUACAUGACCCAGCUCACAUCUUGGAGGCUAUACCAGUGGAGCUGCGUGAGGAUUUGAGCUUUGAGGAGCAACCUUUGAGAAUUUUGGCUCGCGAAGUGAAGAGAUUGCGGAACCGUGAGAUUCCCUACGUGAAGGUGCUUUGGAGCAACCACGACGAGCGCGAGGCCACUUAAGAGUUGGAGCGCGCACUGCGAGAGCGCUAUCCCAAUCUUUUCCAGAUGGAGGCUUGAGGUACGUUGCUUUCGAGUUUCGCGGACGAAACUCCUUUUUAGGAGUGGUGAAUGUAACACACCGAACCGUCGCAAAUAGUGAGGUUCGAGUGUUUUAUUUGUGUUUCGAACUUUUCCACACUUCGUGGAGGGUCGUGGAUAGUGUUCUGACCUAUGGUUCGAGUCCCGAGAAUUGAGAUUCGAGACUUGGCACCAAAACCCAAAAAUUUGGAUUAUUCGUGUGCUCUCGGGUAGCUGUCAGCAGGGUGGCGUACCGGUACGCGUUGAUGGCUGUACCGGUACAGCCAUCGGCGCUGGCAGCUAGUGCGCCAACCCGAGGCUCUGGUUGGGCUGGUUCGCAGGUUGUGUACCGGUACACAAACCCGUGUACCGGUACACAAUGCAGAUUGGGCUGUUUCGUGGAGGGGCGUCUUUGCAAUUGUUACAACACCUAUGUAGCUGCUCUUUUGAGCCCUAGACUAGAGGAGAAGAGGUAAGAACUUCCUCUCUUGAGUUCUUUACCAUUUUUGAUGGAUUUUUGUGGGUUUUGAUCUCUUCCCCUUUGCUCUUCUUUGCUUCUUGUUGGGUUCCUCCAUGGGAGAAGCUUGGAUUUCGGGAUUGGAGCUUGUUUGAGGAUCAACCUUCAACCCUAGGGGACUCUAGGCUUGGUUUGGAGCUUUCAAGAGGUAAGCAUCAAGUUUCUUUCCUCUAGAUUUGUGUUUUGUUGCUUUCUACUUGUUGGAAACCCUAGAUUUUGGAUUUUAGGGUUAGAAAUGGGGAUUUUGGAUUUGUAGCUUCUAGAACCAAAUUGAUUGGUUUAGAACUUUGAUUUAGGUCGGAUUUGAAGGUCUCUAACUUCUUUUUUGAGAUCGUGGGAGAUUUCUUAGCAUUCGGUGAGUUUUCCCCACCUUAGCUUAAAAAGCUUAAUGUUUGAGCUAAGUGUUGUUCGUAAGGUUCUUGUGACACUUGUUUCCAUACCUUUAGGGUACUAGGAGAGUGGAGGAUACCCUCGUCGGAGCAAUCGAAGGGUUCCGUUGUCAUUGGUGGGUUUGGCUUCUUUGAUAUAGGAGGAAAAUGCCUCCUACGUGAUUUAUUGUUUUCGUAUACUAUAAACGCAUGCAUAUCCAUGAUAAGUAGAAUUUAUAUGAAUUUUGGAACGCCUAAAACACAUGCAUUAUGUAUCAUGAUAAUUUCACUCUAUGUAGUAGAGCGAUAUGAGUAGUAUGCAUGCAUAUGCUUUGUAGCCUUUAUUUGCAAUUUAAAAAUAUGUCUCUUAUGUGGAAAGUGACUAGAAUUAUGAACACUUAAGCAAAAAUGCCAUGCUAUGACUUAGUAAACAAAAGUGCCAUAAAGGGGCACUUGAAUUAGAAAAUUGUUGAACUGCAAUUUGGAGACAUAGUAAUAGGCCACCUAGACAUCUGCUAUAUUCUAUGUUUUAGACAUGAUGACAUAGAGAUAUGCCAUUGAGACUAUUACUAUAUUCCGUGUUUUAGACACGAUGAUAUAGAGGCGGGCCUUUGGUACAUGUACUGUAUUCUGGGUUUUAAAUCCGAUGAAACAGUGAUGAACCACUGGGACCUGAGACGGACUUAUUCGCUUGCAUGCCAUUGUGCUCAUUCGCACAUACUUGUGAGUGUCGCUCCCUACAAGUCGGCACUCCGGAGAUAGCCAUCGCGACAUAUGCUUGCCCAUGCGGGAUUGGGCGCCAAAAUGGGAUGCCGUAAGGGAGGCUCAUUCCUAGAGUGGGAAUGUUGACUACCACGGGGCCAUUGUUAGCACGGUGCAGGCCGGACUACCUACGGGUAGCUUCCACAGGAUUGGGUUACCGGUGACAUAUUGUACCUUUUGGACAUUGACUAGAAUAGUAAACAAUGACAUCAUUACUAUUUACAUUGUGGACAUUGGGAUAGUUGCCUCCUUACUUAUGCAAAUCCAUGCUAAGUAGAGAUCAUGUGAUAGUUUAUUACUUGUGCAAAUUCAUGCCAUAUUGAGCUUUCAUUCAGCGAGUUAUUUAUUCAUAUUAUUCUUACCUGCCUUAUUUACCUUACUUGCUUAGUUUUGGGCCUAGUGGUGCAUUUCACUGAAGUCAGUAAUUGCCCACUGGGAACUAUUAUUUAAUAGUUCUCACGCCCUCUGUUUUAUGUUUUCCUUUCAGAGCCCUCUGCACCGGCGGAGGCACGGGACCGCGGCAAGGGAAUCGCUAGCUAGAUNACCGCGGCAAGGGGAUCGCUAGCUAGAUAGCGAGGACUUAUUAUUACUCUUAGGUGGUUUUUCUCUCUUUUAUGUUUGGGGGAGCGAGAGAUUUUGUUUACCAUGUAUAGAGACCACCUAUGUAUUCCUUUAGCUCUUGUAUUUUGGACUUUGGUUGUACUUCUUUACGGUUUAUUUAGUGGUUUUAGCUCUCUACUUUUUACAUUGCUUCAGUCUCUAGAUGUUUUAUAUUGCUCUGAUGCUUCAAGAUACUUUCUUUUAUCGUCUUAUUUAUCGUUUCGUUUUAGACGCCUUACAUAUUUUAGACGUAUGGCGGGUCUGGACACGCGCCGGGCGGGCUUCCGCUGUGUCCCGGGGCGUGACAAAAACAAAGACCCUUUUUGCCCGAGGCUGCGAAGCGAUGCGCGGUUGGUGCGCAAUUGCAAGUUCCGACAGAACCGAGCACCGGAUGCCGCGGGAGGCCGAUUACAAGUGUCGACAAGCAAUCGGAAUGCACUAACAGGUGGGUUGUGCUUACCGAAGCGACUAGGUCGCCUUCAUGUCGAAGAAAAUAUGAUUUCCUAGUUGAUGCAUAUAAUGGGUUAAAUGCUAUAUGAUGCACAUAAUGUAAUUGCUAGAUGUUGCAUAUAAUGUAAAUGCAUGAUGACAUGAGGCAUAUAUUAUAUGAUGUUGACAUAUCAUGAUAGGCUAGUUGAUAUAUAUUUACAUGAUAGGGUAUUGGAUAGUCGUAUUUCUGUUCUUGCAUGAUCCUUAGUAGUGUAGCAACAUGAGUUGAUAUUUGAGUCAGGAUGCAUGAGAAUAGAGGAAUGGUGACCUAGAACCCUUUAGAGAUAAGUUAAAUAAUAACUUAAUCUUGCACUAUUGAAUAUGAUGAUAUAUGACUAAAUAGUCGAGGUAUUACAUUGUGACGAGUGGCAUGCAACCAAGUAAACAACUUAACGAGUGGCAUUAGAACUUAGUGUUAAAAGAACACCUGUGCAUGAUGGUCCUAGUGACAAGAUAUUCUCGUUGGACACAGAAUUGAUCAUACUCACUGUCUGUUCCCAGCUUGUGAUGGUCGCUCCACACAAGUAGUGCACUCCGGAGUCAGUCACGAGGGAUGGCCUAUUUGGGGUCCCGUGGGAUAGGGAUGGCCUAUUUGGGGUCCCGAUGGAUGGCCUAUGUGGGGUCCCGCAGACGGUCUCGGAUUCGUAGUUUGAGUCACGAGGGAUGGCCUAUGUGGGGUCCCGAUGACGGCUCCCUACGAAUCGAGAUGGCUAGCCAGUAGAUUGGGUAAUGUACUCAUGUGAAUUAUGCAAAUUAGGCAUGAGCGGUAGUCGAGUCCUAGUAGAGUGGACAUUAGGCUGAGGUGCAAGUGAGACGUCCUUCACCUCGAGCCUGGCUUUGUGCGGUACUCCGCAGACGAUUGACUCAAGACCGAGUCGGGUGGUUAGUUUUGUAAAGGUAGAUGAAACUUUAUGACAAAAACGGUAAAGGACAGAAAACCUUAAAUGCCAAUUGGAUGAAAGUAGUAAUCGAUUGAAUUACUAGUUGGUUGUAUAGUUGCAUUAUUGCAUGAUCUUCAUAUUGCAUAUCGCGAGGCAAUGCAUGGUAUUGUUAGUUGCAUAAUUCUAUUAUCAUAUCUAUCUGUUUAUUGAACUAACCUGCAGCUUGCCUCCUUCGGACCUGUCGGUCGAGCUUUUUCCUUGGGUGGCCGUACCCACUGGAAACUAUGGAGUUACCCCAUGUUGCUUUUGGGGUGUUACAGGUUCACACAUGAGCGGCGCGGCAGCGCGAGGCGAGGGCGUAGCUCCGUAGAUAGCGCCCUACCACCGUGACCAAAGAUAGCGGUACCCAAGUCAGCCAAGCUAGGGGUUGUAGAAAAGGAAAGUAAAAGGAUCAAACUUGUAAUAAUCUUGUAAUGAUUGAUUGUAUUCGGAAGUUUAAAUGUAUUUGAAAGAAAAAGAAAUGUAAAUAAUAUCAAGUGAGAUGAAUGAAUGAAUGAAUGUAAUAACUUAGGAUGUGUUUAUGUUGUUUGAUACCUUCCUUAUGCAAUUGUUGUAUGUUGAAUACUGUUCCUGGUUGGAACCUAUUGUAAUUGUAUUGAUUGCGACGCUUAGGACAUACAGAAAAAACUCUGUCUGUUCGGCGGUCUGUCGGCGUGCCGAACCUGACCAAAUAGGCGGGGCUCGGGCCAUGACAGGUGCCUUGGCCGAAGCCAGGUGUAAGGGCAUACAACGCCGAACCACGAUCAACCAGAUCGAAACACACGACAAAGGAGUCGAUGUGUUACCUGGACCCAAGGUCCACAGAUAUACAGUAUAUAUGCAAGCCUGCUCUACAUGUCUAUGAACAACUAUCAUAAUGCAAUCAACGAGAUAUAGAUGAAUGAAUGAUAAACAAACAACUGACAUGUAGAGACUACAAUGCUAAAAUAGAAGAACAGAGGGAGGUGAAACGAUCUCACCGACUACCAACUCGAAACACCCACCUGUUAUUGUCACGUCGGAAAAACUGGGUGCGCAACAAGUCAACCGGAUCUACGAAGAUCCACCGGGUCAGUAUCCAACCCACUUACCCAAAGUACACAACUC